UUUUCCGCUGUAGCAAUACAGUGGAAAAUUUAGUGGCGAACGGGUGCGUAACACGUGGGCAAUCUGCCGAAAAGUGGGGGAUAGCUCGCCGAAAGGCGAAUUAAUACCGCAUGUGGUGAGGGACGACAUCUUCCUGAAUCCAAAGCCGGGGCAACCUGGCGCUUUUUGAGGAGCCCGCGGCCUAUCAGCUAGUUGGUGAGGUAACGGCUCACCAAGGCUAUGACGGGUAGCUGGUCUGAGAGGACGACCAGUCACACUGGAACUGAGACACGGUCCAGACACCUACGGGUGGCAGCAGUCGAGAAUUUUUCUCAAUGGGGAAAACCCUGAAGGAGCGACGCCGCGUGGAGGAUGAAGGCUUUCGGGUUGUAAACUCCUGUCAUUUGGGAACAAGGUGCACCGGUUAACUGCCGGAGUAUUGAUAGUACCAGAAGAGGAAGAGACGGCUAACUCUGUGCCAGCAGCCGCGGUAAUACAGAGGUCUCAAGCGUUGUUCGGAUUCAUUGGGCGUAAAGGGUGCGUAGGUGGCGCUGUAAGUCGGGUGUGAAAUUUCGGAGCUUAACUCCGAAACUGCAUUCGAUACUGCGGUGCUUGAGGACUGGAGAGGAGACUGGAAUUCAUGGUGUAGCAGUGAAAUGCGUAGAGAUCAUGAGGAAGACCAGUGGCGAAGGCGGGUCUCUGGACAGUUCCUGACACUGAGGCACGAAGGCCAGGGGAGCAAACGGGAUUAGAUACCCCGGUAGUCCUGGCAGUAAACGGUGCACGUUUGGUGUGGGGGGGAUUCGACCCCUUCCGCGCCGGAGCUAACGCGUUAAACGUG
rnacentral:rRNA from 1 species